UACGUAGGGUCCAAGCGUUAUCCGGAAUCACUGGGCGUAAAGCGUGCGUAGGUGGCGUGUUAAGUGUGAUGUUAAAUCGUGUGGCUCAACCAUAUCGAUGUGUCGCAUACUGGCAUGCUAGAGGACAGCAGAGGCAAGUGGAAUUAGUAGUGUAGCAGUGAAAUGCGUAGAUAUUACUAGGAACACCGAUGGCGAAGGCAGCUUGCUGGGCUACUCCUGACACUGAGGUACGAAAGCGUGGGGAGCAAACAGG
rnacentral:rRNA from 1 species